rnacentral:lncRNA from 1 species
CAUACCCCGUCUGGUAUGAGAGACCACGAUCCCGGUAGAGUUCCCUACGGACCCGGUCCGUCCACCAUCUCCCAGGAUAUCUAGUCAGGCUGACCACAUUAUACAAUUAUCAAUUUACAUAACCUUUCAUUCCCCUUUUCCUCAGUCAGCCUCAUCAAUUCACACAGAAACAAGCAAACCAGUAAUUUAUGCCAAACAAGACAACAUACAACAUCGGGUUCUCAGUCAUUCAACCUAUAAUCAAUAAAACAGUGAUAUAUACACACGAAAUAAUGAAAUGAAAACAUCAGACCUCAUACUGCAUUUAAAGCCGUAAAAUAGGCCAAACAACAGCUAACAGACAAACACACCAGACUCGGGCUCUAUUAGCGACCUUAAACAAUUUCACACAUCUAUUGAUUCAUAAAAUACCGUUUUAUUAUUUAUUGAACUUUAAUACCGUGAUAGAAAAUAGGGUGAGGGGUCCUUACUUGUUUCGGAGUCCGAAUACGGCUCUACAGUGCGCCUGCAGGCUGUCCCUAAUUUUCUCUGAAUUUUUUCCGGGGAACUGAAACGCACUACUGGUACCUGCACGUGUCCCAAAAAAUCCCAAAUUAGACCCAGGGCCCCUUUCGGCCAAUAUCGCAAUUCCGGCAUGGCGGCUCCGCCGUGCUCCGGCGACGGCGUCGCCGCAAGCGGCGGCAAUUCGCCUUGGGUUGGCUGUUUUCGGCCGUUUCCGGCCUAAUUCGGCCACACUUGCAUCGGUCCCUGUGAU